GAUGAACGCUGGCGGCGUGCCUAAUACAUGCAAGUCGAGCGAACAGACGAGGAGCUUGCUCCUCUGACGUUAGCGGCGGACGGGUGAGUAACACGUGGAUAACCUACCUAUAAGACUGGGAUAACUUCGGGAAACCGGAGCUAAUACCGGAUAAUAUAUUGAACCGCAUGGUUCAAUAGUGAAAGACGGUUUUGCUGUCACUUAUAGAUGGAUCCGCGCCGCAUUAGCUAGUUGGUAAGGUAACGGCUUACCAAGGCAACGAUGCGUAGCCGACCUGAGAGGGGGAUCGGCCACACUGGAACUGAGACACGGGCCAGACUCCUACGGGAGGCAGCAGUAGGGAAUCUUCCGCAAUGGGCGAAAGCCUGACGGAGCAACGCCGCGUGAGUGAUGAAGGUCUUCGGAUCGGAAAACUCUGUUAUUAGGGAAGAACAAAUGUGUAAGUAACUAUGCACGUCUUGACGGUACCUAAUCAGAAAGCCACGGCUAACUACGUG
rnacentral:rRNA from 1 species